rnacentral:lncRNA from 1 species
CACAAGUUUCAGCGUAGCGCGUUUUGUCUGAUAGUAACCUGCCGUGUGCCUCGGCCGGCCAGAAUUCAUCGUUAAUAUGAUUCCGUCCGCUCUCUGCGUUGUCCUGCUCGUCACCGCGUGUAUGUUUCCUGACGGCGUCCGGCCGCUGUCGACGAACGCGAGUGUCAAGAGGAGCGACUGCAUCUACGAAGAAUGCACGGACGAAGUGUGCGUACCGCGAGGCCUCGUCUGUCGUCCGAAGGGGUGCGGGGGCUCGCACUGCGUCCGAGAAAACUGAGCUGGGAACCAAGAGGACAAAAUGCAACGAGUCUGUCUGUUUUAGGCUCAGAUAUCACCAAGGCUUACAACAGCGUGAAAUGGAGCAUCAAUGGACAACGUUACCAUUUUGAAGGAUGUCCGUCAGGAUAUGGUAUGGGUCUGCAGAUGUUGUAAUCAAGGCUUGCUCAAUCUUUG